rnacentral:misc_RNA from 1 species
GUCAGAUGUGUAUAAGAGACAGGUGAGUCAUCGAAUCUUUGAACGCAAAUGGCACUGCCACGACAAGUGGCGGUAUGCCUGUUUGAGAACCGAAUAAAACAUCACCUCUAGUUAGAGGCGGACGUGCUUGUGACUGCGGUCUUGAGCUGAAAGUAUUGUUGCGGGCACUGUGUCCGGUGUAUGAUAGUCUUUACACCCAUGGCCGGUGCUAGUAAAUGCAGCACGGACAGUAUAUUUCAAAAACCGGUCUCAAAUCAGGCAAGGCUACCCGCUGAACUUAAGCAUAUCAAUAAGCGGAGG